CUCACGUUGAUAAUGUGAAAAAAAUUUAAUUAAAUAUUACAAAUAUUGAUUGCCUAUCCGCAGUGAAACACGGAAAAUGCGAAACAAAAGAAAAAAAUUCACUGUACUUAAAAAUAAUUUUUCUAUUUUAUAACACACCCGCGGCUUGACAGUGAAUCAAAAAAAAAAAAAAGAAAAAAAACCACCUUUUUGUGAGAAGGUCCGACAGCAAGGAUGGUUGGACAGUCACUGAUUGCGAUGCGUGUGCGCUAAUAUAAGCUCGAACUUUCUCAUACACAGUCUUGGUUUCGCGGUGCGCGAAUUCGAUCCGGAUUAAAUUGACCACGUCCUCAAUUUUUGCCGCCUACUUUUAAGAUCCGCCUUUUUUCAUCUUGUGGAGAAAAGAAGUGACAGUAUUAAAAAAGGAUGAGAGGACAUAAAAGGUGGUGUUGCGGCCAAAUAACAAUCUUUAAUAGCUUCGAGGCUUUUGAAAAGACUAUUUUCUCGUGUCGAGGAUGUCAGGCAGACGCAAUAAAUACUGCAUCGUCUUAAACGUGUUUUUGUAUCUAAAGGAGAAAAGAGAGAGAGAGAGACCUUACGAGUAGCUGCAAAAUUCAAGAGAGAGAGAGAGAGAGAGAGCAAAAAAAAGAACAGAGAGGGGGGAGUAUGAUCACGAACAUCCUGAAAAGCAACGUGCGUAAACUACGUAUGUUAAAUUAAGAAGCUGAAAACUGACCAUUCCACUGGAAACACCUGUUUAUCAUAAAAUUGACGUAAAACGAAAACGAAACAAAUAAUAUCAAUAAUAAUUUGUUUCUAUUGAAUU